rnacentral:snoRNA from 1 species
AACAUACGACCUCUAGUUUUGUUAGAAAUCGAAGAUAAGUUGGGUGAUUGACAUGUGAGAUUAACAGACCUGCCUGUUUGCGUUAGUUUCUGAUAAAAAUAACUUGCAAUUAUUUUGUUAUUCUUUACUAUCAGGACUUACCUGGUGGGCGGACUCU